AGCUCUGUGUACACAGCAAGACACAGAUUCUCGCAAUUGCAGUGGCCUCGGGCUGUUCUUCGCAGCCUGCUUAGUUCUAGUGUUCCUUGUUUUCGACCCUCACCUGUCUUCUACAACCACCGAGUUUUGCCUUGCCUGUGUCGAGACGUCUGCGCCUGAAAGACCUUCGCCUGAAAGACCUUCGCCUGACCUUGAUCGUGUCCUGCCCUUCGAACUUCAAGAAAAGAGUAAAAUCAACCCGCAAUUGGGUCCACGACUUGCCUGUGUGUGUCUCUCUCCAGUCCGUCUGUUGCCGUGACAGAGUUAAGUAACAUUUUGCGUUACGUUUUAUGUUCCAUUAUUAAAGAAUACAUAAAAGUAGAAACACAGGGACUCACCUGCUGCAGGUUUGACUGAAUGGAGAGUCUCUGUGUGUCUCUUUAAAUACAGAUCCUGGGAGCAGGUAUGUGAAGUGGGCGGUGGGCAACAACAGAACUGAAAGUGAAAAGAAUGUGUUAACCUUCACUUGUCUGUAAAUUCACUCCCGAACGACCCGUCAUCCGCAUCGCGAUAGACAUGGACGGUUCUGAAAUGAACUCUCAGUUGCACAGGUCUUUCGACAGACUUCCAGCAGGAAAAUACAUUUUGUGUGUCGGCGAAGUGACAGACUUCAUGUCUGAAAAUACUGAAGAUACAAAACACACCCAGAAGUGGUUGUGCAGAGCAGAUGGGAUUGCCUGGAAGAGUCAAAAUUAUAAUGAUACAAACAUUGUUUUUUUAUCUUUGCCUGAAACUUCGACUGAACAUGCCUCACAUGCCAGCUUUGCCUCUGUGGUCCAAAAGCUUCCCGAGAUCAGUGCAGUCCUUGUGACAGGAGCAGCACCCGCAUAUCAUCAGACUGUGACUGAGAUAUUUGGUGAAACAAAUAUGAAAUAUGUUUUGGUGGUCCAUUUCUGCUGGGGAGCAGACCACCAGCAUCCAUUCUGGAUCGAAACAUAUGAACCCAGUGAUAUUACAUUUUGCAGUAACAUGGAUGCCCUUCUAGAAGAAAUCACCAGCAAGAUAGCACACAAUGACUCUUGCUUGGUGUUACCCAAAGAGUCUUUCCAAAGAGACACCGGAUUUCAGCAACCUCCAGCGGCAGAUGAAAUUGCCGUAUCAUCUGGAGAAAUGACCUCAUCAUCUGGGGAACCUGCCACAGCAACUGG